AUGUGUGCUAAUUUCUCUCUACAUUCCAUAAGUUGCUCCACCUACCUAGCCGCGCAAGAUAGGGAGCACAAGUUCUUAUCGAUAGCGGUAGAAGAGGCCUACCGAGCGGUCGACCGUGGCCAUGGGCGCCCAUUUGGCGCGGUCGUGGUCCGCAACGACCAAGUAGUGGUCAGUUGCCAUAACAUGGCUGUGAAGAACACCGAUGCAACCGCCCAUGCCGAAGUUACUGCAAUAAGAGAGGCUUGCAAGAAGCUCGGGAAGAUCGACUUGUCGGAUUGCGAAAUGUAUGCAUCCUGCGAACCUUGCCCGAUGUGUUUCGGCGCUGUUCGUCUAUCCCGGAUCAAGAGGCUGGUGUAUGGAGCCACGGCAGAAGCUGCUAUUGCCAUGGGAAGCUGCUACCAGAGCGCCAACUUGGAGAUAAAGCGAGUGGAUGGGAAUGGAGCCCUGCUUGCUGAACAACUCUUUGAGAACACCAAGGGGAAAUUUCAAAUGUACUAA
rnacentral:rRNA from 1 species